rnacentral:rRNA from 2 species
AAGCCUGACGGAGCAAUGCCGCGUGAGUGAAGAAGGCCUUCGGGUUGUAAAACUCUGUCCUAAAGGAAGAAAGGUAUAUGUAUAAACAAUACAUAUACCUGACGGUACUUUAGGAGGAAGCCCCGGCUAACUACGUGCCAGCAGCCGCGGUAACACGUAGGGGGCGAGCGUUGUCCGGAAUCACUGGGCGUAAAGCGCGCGCAGGCGGACAUUUAAGUCAGAUGUGAAACCUCUGGGCUUAACCUAGAGCUUGCAUCUGAUACUGGAUGUCUUGAGGACAGGAGAGGGGAGUGGAAUUCCUAGUGUAGCGGUGAAAUGCGUAGAUAUUAGGAGGAACACCAGUGGCGAAGGCGACUCUCUGGCCUGUAACUGACGCUGAGGCGCGAAAGCGUGGGUAGCAAACA